CCUACGGGUGGCAGCAGUGAGGAAUAUUGGUCAAUGGCCGAGAGGCUGAACCAGCCAAGUCGCGUGAGGGAAGACGGCCCUACGGGUUGUAAACCUCUUUUGUCGGGGAGCAAAGCGAACCACGUGUGGUUCAUUGAGAGUACCUGAGUAAGAAGCCCCGGCUAACUACGUGCCAGCAGCCGCGGUAAUACGUAGGGGGCAAGCGUUAUCCGGAUUUACUGGGUGUAAAGGGAGCGUAGACGGGGCGCCAAGUCUGGAGUGAAAUGCCGCAGCUUAACUGCGGAACUGCUUUGGAAACUGGCGAACUAGAGUGCGGGAGGGGUAAGCGGAAUUCCUAGUGUAGCGGUGAAAUGCGUAGAUAUUAGGAGGAACACCGGUGGCGAAGGCGGCUUACUGGACCGUAACUGACGUUGAGGCUCGAAAGCGUGGGGAGCAAACAGGAUUAGAUACCCCUGUAGUC
rnacentral:rRNA from 1 species